UGGGUUGGAAGGUCAGAUGGCAAUCGCUUUCGUAAAAACUAGUUGCCUACGCCAAUUCUUGGGAUUAGUUGCCAAGCGGACCCCAGGCUCCCAUGAGCUGUGGCAAAAUGCCGGGACAACGCGA